rnacentral:tRNA from 1 species
GCCUUGAUGGUGAAACGGUAAACACGCGAGAUUCAAAAUUUCGUGCUUGGAAGCAUGGAGGUUCGAAUCCUCUUCAAGGCA